rnacentral:lncRNA from 1 species
GUCAGAAUCAGUAGAGGAAACUGUCAUAAAUGAAGCAGUUGUGGAACAAUGUGAGUUAUUGGGGUUACUCUGUGGGAGAUGAUCACCCUGCCUGGCAACCUGCAUGUGUCUUGCCAGGUUGCUCUCCUCUGGUUGACAAGAGCACUUCAGACCUUUCUCCUACCCUAUAAGCUGCCAGUCAUGCUGCCCACCCCUUUUCAAAGUAGGAGGCGAGAUAAACAAAAUAAAACCACACAGCAGCCCCUCCCAGGACCUCUCACCAGCAGAUAUGGACAUAAUCAUGAGCUGUCUGGUGAAAAGGCAGGAGCUGCCCUGACUCCAUCUCUCUUCUUCCUCCCAAGUGGACUUUAGGUCACAAAGUUCCUCCCUUACCCCAACCUUCUUGAGAAUUUCCAUUAAUGUGUGUUCCUUAGCAUAUUCCAUUUUUUUUUCUCUCAACUGGAUUCUUCUCACAGGUCUUAAACUUGCUCAUUUUAAACUCCUUUCUUGAUUCCAUAUCCUUCUGUAGCUACUCUCUGGCCUCUUUUCCCCUCUUUACAGCCAAACUUCUCAGCAGUCGUCUCCUUUUUCUACUUUCUGCUCACUCUUCAUCUUGCCUGAUCUCUGUAAAGUUGACAUGGUGACUAUUCACUCCAUUUUGAAACAGACUCUCUCUUUCCUUCUUUUUUUUUUGGCACCACAUUCCCUUAGUUUUCUUUCUAUCUUUGUAGUCAUUUUUUUCUUUCCCUUUUUUUUUAAAGACUCAUCAUCCCCUAGCUGGCCAUCAAACGUUGGAGUUCCUUAAGGCUAUUCCCAGGCUUUCUCUUCUUAUGCAUCUUGUCACCCUGGAUAAUUUCAGCCAUGGAAAAAGACCAAUGCGCUUCCCUGGAUGCACAGCGUGUUCCUGCUCUACGUAAUUGUACAGCCUCCUCACAAACCAGGCUUCGCUUACUCUCCGUACUCUGGCCAUACUUGAUUACUCCCUCCUGCCACCAAAGCUUUGCUUAUGCUGUGCCCUCUUACUAGAAUGUUCUUCCCGUCUACUUCCUGAAUCAGUUAGCUAUUGUCCUCCAGAUCCCAGUUCAACUGAAACUUUGUAGUGGUGGCCCACCGUCACCUCAGACUCAGGCAUGUGCCCUUAUCAUUCAUGCUUACAACCCAGUAUACCCAUCAUUAUUUUAAGUCCCACAGCUGUCACUGCACAGUCAUUUGUGUGACACUUUGGUUAAAAGUCAUCCACCCUCCUGAGAUGCUGAGCUCCCUGAAGCUAUGUCUGACUUUGGUUUCUACCAGCCACCGUGUUAUAUGUUCAUUAAUAUUCAUUUAGUGCUUAAUGUUUUUGCUUUCUUUCAUGAUCCUAAUACUGCUCAUUUGGGGGCGAAACGGAAGCAGGCACACUACACACACUCUCCAGACAUCCGGAAUGUGGAGUCAAGCCAGCGUAAGUCUUACACACAUUUUUCAAUGACUUGUUAGGUUAAUGAGAUGAAUAUCAAAAGAGGCUUACUGAAGGCAGGUGGGAUUCCAACAGUCAGAGAAGUAAAAGGUCAUCCAAGACAGGAGUAGCAGCACGAACAAAUGUUUGAGAGGAUAAGAGAAAAACUUGACAAUGUCUAUUCACUAUGAUGCAAGGGAUCUACACGGAUCCACAAACCAGAUGUGGGCAGAGCUCAAGAUAGACAGAAAGAAGGUAGUUUUGAAAGAGCUGACUCUGGAGAGUGUUCAAGCACUACAGGUAUUAUAGAGGUGGUUCUGAUUCCAAAGCUAGCAACCAUAGAAAGGAAGUUGUCUGAAAUAGUUGAAGUUUACUACCUGACUCUCAUUAGUUGCAGGCACGUUCAUUACUCUUGUUACAAUAGAUUCAGUCUUUACUGUCCUUUCCUCCUUGGCAUUUUUCACCUGGGCGUCUUGUCAAUGCCAAGCCUAAGAAUGGCCCUUUAUCCCUCCUCACUUGAUGUGAGGGUGACUUCACUUGCUCUGGCCUCCCAGCUCAGGACUUUGGAUUGUAUACCCU